UGCGCGGGCUGCGGUAGGGGACUCCGGAUCCAGUCGCAUCCCGGGACUAGUGAGGGUAGCGGGUACACCCGGCAGGAGUCCCCUCCGAUCCCGUGUCCCCACUCGGAACCGCCCACCAACCGGUUGGAAAGGAGCUGGAGCUACGCAGCUGGGGGCCGUCAUGGUCCAGCCCACAGCCCUGGAGCACCACCCAGGGAGGACUCCUCCUAAGGAUUGAGAGGGCGCUGACGGAGUGCCUGGGCUGCCCGCACAGCGCCUGCGCAGAGCUCACCUUCACCAGGGAGCUUCCUUUACCUCCUCGGAACCCCUGUCCGGGAUCAGCUCUCCCCGGGGUGUCUGGGCUUCUGGUUGUCUCGCCCCCUUCCCCCAGCCUCUGAUCCACGGAGAGCAACGCAGAGCCCUGCCAGAAGCAGGCCUGGGGCUGUGAGUGUGGCCCCCAUGGUCCCAAUAGGCGGUUGUCCCAGAGAACAGCAAUCACUGCCUAUAGGAGGUGACGUGGGUUUAGCCUCUGACCACACAGUCCUGGUCACCCUGCACAGACUGUCAAUAAAGAAGGGUCUGAGGCCCAGCUCCUUGGCUCCUCUGCAGUUUCCCCAAAAGGGAAGCUGAGGCUGUGGGUGAGUGGGUGAUGUCCGUGGUCCAGGCUCCAGUUCCCUCACUGUGGGGUCUUCCCCUACCCCUGUGAUAUGGUUUGGCUCUGUAUUCCCACCCAAAUCUCACCUCGAAUUGUAAUCCCCAUAAUCCCCACGUGUCAAGGGCGAGACCAGGUGGAGGUAAUUGAAUCAUGGGGCUGGUUCCGCACGUGCUGUUCUUGUGCGAAUGAGUGAGUCUCGCCAGAUCUGAUGGUUUUAUAAGCGUCUGACAUUUCCCGUUUGCGCGCAUUCUCUCUCCUGUCGCCAUGCGAGAAGGUGCUUUCCACCAUGAUUGUCAGUUUCCUGAGGGCUCCCCAGCUAUGAGGAAAUGUGAGUCAAUUAAACCUCUUUUCUUUAUAAUUUACCCAGUCUCAGGUAUUUCUUCAUAGGAGGGUGAGAACGGACUAAUACACCCUGAUUGCCCAGGUGACCCCAUGACUCAUAUGCAAGAGCAUGGCAGACCACAGCAGUGCCCAGCGACACCCAGUGAAGCCCUGAGUGACGCAGCUGGAUACCUGAUGUGAGG
rnacentral:lncRNA from 1 species